rnacentral:tRNA from 2 species
GGAUGGAGCAGCCCGGUAGCUCGUCAGGCUCAUAACCUGAAGGUCGUAGGUUCAAAUCCUACUCCCGCAACCA